AAUUCCAUCUGCUGUAUUUGAGCCAUCCGUGGUCAUAAUGGAGUUUCAGGAAGUGUUGCUUUGUUCCUGGUGAUGCUCCAUCAGAGCUGCUCUGAGGAGACGCUCUGGCUGACACGCAGCUCGAGUCCUGGCUCUUGACCCAGAAACAUUCCUGCCAAAUGCCUGGCCACUGAGUUCCUGCUCCCCAGCGCCAGCGACUUGCUCUUUGCAAGGUUGCCAUGCAUAAAGAAAAGGACAUGAGAGACUCUAGGACUUCUCUGAAAAGACAGGCAGCUGACCUGAAGCAGUAAAUACGUGUGUGCCCGCAUCAGGUACUCGAGUUACCU